UCUUAUCUAGAGAGGUGGAGGGACUGGCCCUUGGAAGCCUCGGCAACAGCUCCAAGGAGUAAUGUGCCAAUUCCAGUAGCGAUUAUGCUAACAGAUAAGA
rnacentral:ncRNA from 1 species